GAUGAACGCUAGCUACAGGCUUAACACAUGCAAGUCGAGGGGAAACGACAUCGAAAGCUUGCUUUUGAUGGGCGUCGACCGGCGCACGGGUGAGUAACGCGUAUCCAACCUGCCCAUCACUUGGGGAUAACCUUGCGAAAGUAAGACUAAUACCCAAUGAUAUCUCUAGAAGACAUCUGAAAGAGAUUAAAGAUUUAUCGGUGAUGGAUGGGGAUGCGUCUGAUUAGCUUGUUGGCGGGGUAACGGCCCACCAAGGCAACGAUCAGUAGGGGUUCUGAGAGGAAGGUCCCCCACAUUGGAACUGAGACACGGUCCAAACUCCUACGGGAGGCAGCAGUGAGGAAUAUUGGUCAAUGGGCGAGAGCCUGAACCAGCCAAGUAGCGUGCAGGAAGACGGCCCUAUGGGUUGUAAACUGCUUUUAUAAGGGAAUAAAGUGAGAGUCGUGACUCUUUUUGUAUGUACCUUAUGAAUAAGGGCCGGCUAAUUCCGUG
rnacentral:rRNA from 1 species